GACGAACGCGGGGGCGUGCUUAACACAUGCAAGUCGAACGCUGAAGCUCAGCUUUUGUUGGGUGGUGAGUGGCGAACGGGUGAGUAACACGUGAGUAACCUGCCCUCCUCUUUGGGAUAACGCCCGGAAACGGGUGCUAAUACUGGAUAUUCACUGAUCUUCGCAUGGGGGUUGGUGGAAAGGUUUGUUCUGGUGGGGGAUGGGCUCGCGGCCUAUCAGCUUGUUGGUGGGGUGAUGGCCUACCAAGGCUUUGACGGGUAGCCGGCCUGAGAGGGUGACCGGUCACAUUGGGACUGAGAUACGGCCCAGACUCCUACGGGAGGCAGCAGUGGGGAAUAUUGCACAAUGGGCGAAAGCCUGAUGCAGCGACGCCGCGUGAGGGAUGGAGGCCUUCGGGUUGUAAACCUCUUUCGCUCAUGGUCAAGCCGCGACUUUGGUUGUGGUGAGGGUAGUGGGUAAAGAAGCGCCGGCUAACUACGUGCCAGCAGCCGCGGUAAUACGUAGGGCGCGAGCGUUGUCCGGAAUUAUUGGGCGUAAAGGGCUUGUAGGCGGUUGGUCGCGUCUGCCGUGAAAUUCUCUGGCUUAACUGGGGGCGUGCGGUGGGUACGGGCUGACUUGAGUGCGGUAGGGGAGACUGGAACUCCUGGUGUAGCGGUGGAAUGCGCAGAUAUCAGGAAGAACACCGGUGGCGAAGGCGGGUCUCUGGGCCGUUACUGACGCUGAGGAGCGAAAGCGUGGGGAGCGAACAGG
rnacentral:rRNA from 1 species